rnacentral:rRNA from 1 species
AUUGACCGCUGGCGGCAGGCUUAACACAUGCAAGUAGAGCGAGCGGCGGACGGGUGAGUAAUGUGUGGGAAACUGCCUGAUGGAGGGGGAUAACUACUGGAAAAGGUAGCUAAUACCGCAUACCAUCAGAUGUGCCCAGAUGGGAUUAGCGAGUAGGUGGGGUAAUGGCUAACCUAGGCGAAGAUCCCUUGCUGGUCUGCGAGGAGGACAAGCCACACUGGAACGGAGACACGGUCCAGACUCCUACGGGAGGCAGCAGUGGGGAAUAUUGCACAAUGGGCGCAAGCCUUAUGCAGCCAUGCCGCGUGUGUGAAGAAGGCCUUCGGGUUGUAAAGCACUUUCAGCGAGGAGGCGUUACUCGCAGAAGAAGCACCGGCUAACUCCGUGCCAGCAGCCGCGGUAAUUC